CAAGCCUGUAAUCCCAGCACUUUGGGAGGCCAAGUCAGGAGGAUCGCCUAAGUCCAGUAGUUCAAGACCCACCUGGGCAGCAAAGUGAGACCCUCGCCUCUACAAAAAAUUUAAAAUUAGUCAGGAGUGGUGGCACGUGCCUGUAGUCCCCAUUACUCGGGAGGCUUGAUCUCAGGAGGUUGAGGCUGCAGUGAGCUGUGUUCAUGUCACUGCAGUCCAGCCUGAGUGACAGAGCAAGACUCUGUCUCAAAAAAAGUCCAAAAACCCAAAAAGAAAAACCCAAAAUAAAUAAAAACAUACAAAUUUUCAAUAAAUAUACAUCAAAAUAUGCAAAUUAAGGAAGUGUAGAAUCUUUUAAUUUUAAAUUGUCAUGUUUUAGAAGUGAUUUUUCUUCUAGUAUUUUAAAAAUCUUUAUCUUCUGAAAAUAUUUUCAACUAUUAAGAUAAAAAAUGCAGCCGGGUGUCGUGGCUUAUGACUGUAAUCCCAGCGCUUUGGGAGGCCAAGGUGGGCGGAUCACUUGAGGUCAGGAGUUCAAGCCCCGCCUGGCCAACAUGGUGAAACCCCUUCUCUACUAAAAAAAAAUAGAAAAAUUAGCCGGUGUGGUGGCAUGUGCCUGUAGUCCCAGCCACUUGGGAGGCUGAGACAGUAGAAUGGCUUGAACCUGGGAGGCAGAGGUUGCAGUGGGCUGAGAUCACGGCACUGCACUCCAGCCUGGGCAACAGAGCAAGACUCCAUCUCGAAAAAAAAAGAAAGAUGAAAAAUGCAAGUUAUAACUAAUAAAUAUUAAACAUUUAAGCAAAAUCAUUCUAAUAAAGCUGAAAUACUUAAAUUUUUGAAAAUUUAUUAAAUCAUCUUCACAAAAGUAUUUGUGGUUCUAGCAUUCAAUAUCAACAGUUGCCAGUAUGAAAAACCAGCAUCCUACUUCAUCUCUGCUAUAUCUAGACAUACAUGCACACCAACUUAAGAGCAAUAUGGAGUGUUUGCUAUUACGGAAUGUUCCUGGGCAGUCUUGUGCAAUGGUUGUGGGCACUGUUAGUUUAUGAGAACUACCUACUUGAUAGCUAACAGUUAGAUUGUCCCAUAGACAAAGAUCAGUGUGUUCCAAACUGAACUCACUGGAUUCCUUUCCUAAACCUGCUAUUUUUCUGCUUUCUCUAUCUCAGCAAAGACCUUUUCUCUGUCUCUGUCACCACUCACAUCCAGUUUGUCACCAUGACCUGCUGAUUCUUCCUGUGUGAAAUUUCUCCUCACUUCUCCCAUCCUGCUCUUAUUCUCUCCUGGGUUAUUGGGACCACUUCACUCUUGGUCUCCCUCUGUCCUUUCAUGGCUCUCUCCAAGCGUUCCCACUUGGUGUGCUCUUUCUAAAAUGAAAAUCGGCCAGGCGCAGUGACUCACACCUGUAAUCCCGGCACUUUAGGAGGUCGAGGUGGGCAGAUCACCUGAGGUCAGGAGUUCGAGACCAGCCUGACCAACAUGGUGAAACCCCAUGUCUACUAAAAAUACAAAAAUUAGCUAGGCAUGGUGGCGCACGCCUGUAAUCCCAGCUACUUGGGAGGCUGAGGCAGGAGAAUCACUUGAACCCUGGAGGCAGAGAUUGCAGUGAGCUGAGAUCACACCAUUGCACUCCAGCCUGGGCAUCAAGAGCGAAACUCCGUCGCAAAAAUAAAUAAAUAAAUAAAUAAAUAGCAAAUCUACUUGUCAAAAUAGCAUGUCUUUAAUAAAAGAUAAAUAAAAAUAAAAAACAAAAUAAAACACACAUCUAUACUCACCUUCAUGGAACCCUCCCAAAUCUGAGCACAGUCCGCAGGGCCCCUGCCUCUCCCCAACAUCAUGCUGUGGUUGCAUGUGCUUCAUCCCAUCCGGAGCUCCAGGCUAUUGCUGCUGUUUUUCCUGUGUUCUCAUCCCAGGGGCCUCUCCGGGGCAGGUGAUCCUCCUUGAAAUCCCCAUGUCCUUCUCUGGGGCCCAGAAAUUCCAUCUGCUGCUCCUGUGGUCCUCUGGGCUCAGGGAAACCCCGUGGGACUCCCAAGACCCUUGUUGCUCUGUCCAGGCUGGGCCAGGCAGACCCCGGGAGGCCUCUGCCCCGUUACCACUCUGCCGUUUCUGCUUUGGGGUAUUUUUCCAUCUUGGGGUCCACCCCAAGGAUCCUCAAACUUAGCGGUGUCUGAUUCUGUGCCCCGACCUUGAGGUUCAGCUGAUGCUGGGGGUGGGGUUGAGAGCAUUCCACACAAAUUCAACCCCUUUCUCUCAGUCUUCUGUCUUGGGAGCCAAGAGCCCAGCCCUUACAUCCUAUUUGCCAGGUUCCUUCCUGUGUCCCACCAGACCUAGACCUUGGAAGUUUAAAAGCCAGCAGAAGACUUAAUUUUUCCUGUGGCUCGCGCCUGUAAUCUCAGCAUUUUGGGAAGUCAAGACAGGCGUUCGAGACCAGCUUGGGCAACAUAGUGAACCCCCCACCCCAAUUUUAAAAACAAAAUACAAAAAUUAGCCAGGUGUGGUGGUGCACACCUCUGGGAGGUAGGGGUGGGAGGAUCGUUUGAGCCUGGAAGGUAGAGACUGUAGUGAGCCGUGAUUGCGCCACUGCACUCCAGCCUGAGUGACAGAAUGAGACCCUGUCUCUAAAAAAAAAAAAAAGAGAAAGAGAGAGGGAAUUAUUCUUAUACACCUAGAUGUACCACAUUUUCCCUGAGGCAGUGAAUUCAGAAUACUUGGAAAGGUAAAUGAGGAAGGGUUAAGCUUUAACAGGAAAAAUGGGGAAAAAAGUGAGUAAUAUUUCAAAAUAUUACCUUUCUAUACAAGGGAAAGGAUCCAAAUUAUACCACUGUGUCGUAAAAAUUAUUAUGACCUGAAGACAUUUGAGAAUCAACAGAUGCAGAAAGAGGCUUUGUCUGAAUACUCCCUUAUCUGACUAAAAGCAGAAACUUCUGGGAGUGAGACUGCCACUAGCCCCCUCUCUGGAGGAGUUUCACGGCUGUGAAGAAGAUGAAGAAGACCACAAACAAACAUGAUGAAGAACCAUCUUGUCUCCUGGUUUGUUCUCCUAAAAAUACAUUUGUCUUUCCUAAAUAAACCCAUUUGUUCUUCCAGUAGAAGCCUUUUCCUCCCUGCUCCUUUACCCUUAUUAAGGUAGGCUUGUAAAUCCCUGUCUUUAGUUAUGGAUAAAGUCAUUUUCUUUGUGGGUUCCUAGUAUGUGAAUAAACUUUAUCUUUUCUUUUGUUAAUCUGUCUUUUGUCAGUUUAAUUCACAGCCCCCCAAGAACAGCAUCUAAGAGGGUGGAGAAGACAUUUUUCCUCCCUGACGCAAGCAAUCACUUCAGAGUCUUCUUGAUAUUUUAGGUAGAAUUUAGGUACUCUAGUUCCCGCAGGGGGAUUCCAGUCUCAGACAACCCACCGCAGUAGGACCGCUUCAAUCAUACUUCAUAAUGAUUUUCUCAGUAUGAGCUUGUUGGCUUAGAGCUGCGGAAGAGAAGUCACAAAGAAAGCCUAAGGUUUCAGAGAGCACUGAGGUAAGCUCAACCCAGGUCUCAAUUCAAUUUCUAGAAGAGGAGGACACUAGUGGAAAUCAUUUCCAUGUAUAUCCUGUAUUUCCAGGGCCGAAACCAAUACAGUAGUAUGUCUGCUUCUUACAGUUUUUUUUCCCUAUGCUUAUACACUUUUAUUUUCUACAUUUUUGGACUCACACUUACGUAUACUAUUUUGCACCUUUAGCUUAUACUAUUUAUUAAAUAUAUAUUUAUAUUGUGAAGAUGAACAUUUUUC
rnacentral:lncRNA from 10 species